rnacentral:lncRNA from 1 species
UCAAUCCUCUCUUUCAACUAUGGCUGCUUCCACAAUGGCUCUGUCUUCCCCAACCUUCGCCGGCAAAGCCGUGCAACUUUCCCCGGGAGCCACCGAGCUUUUCGGAAAUGGAAGAGUCUCCAUGAGGAAAACUGCUACCAAAAAAGUCUCCUCUGGCAGCCCAUGGUACGGCCCUGACAGGGUCAAGUACUUGGGCCCAUUCUCAGGCGAGCCCCCAAGCUACCUCACCGGCGAGUUCCCCGGUGACUACGGCUGGGACACCGCCGGACUCUCAGCUGACCCAGAGACCUUCGCCAAGAACCGUGAGCUCGAAGUGAUCCACUCCAGAUGGGCCAUGCUCGGAGCUCUUGGAUGCGUUUUCCCAGAGCUCUUGUCCCGCAACGGUGUCAAGUUCGGCGAAGCCGUGUGGUUCAAGGCCGGAGCCCAGAUCUUCAGCGAGGGCGGUCUCGACUACUUGGGAAACCCUAGCUUGGUCCAUGCACAGAGCAUCUUGGCCAUCUGGGCUACCCAAGUGGUGUUGAUGGGCGCAGUUGAGGGAUACAGAAUUGCCGGCGGACCCCUCGGAGAGGUGACCGACCCUCUUUACCCCGGAGGAAGCUUCGACCCGUUGGGCCUUGCCGAUGACCCAGAAGCCUUUGCUGAGCUCAAGGUGAAGGAGCUCAAGAAUGGAAGGUUGGCCAUGUUCUCCAUGUUUGGAUUCUUUGUCCAGGCCAUCGUCACCGGAAAGGGACCAUUGGAGAACCUUGCCGACCACCUUGCCGACCCGGUCGCCAACAAUGCCUGGAACUAUGCCACAAACUUCGUUCCCGGAAAGUGAGAGCUCGGAAUUGUUUUGUACUUUUGUUUGUAGUGUUGUCGGUGAUGUAAAUUUGGUACCAAGUAAUGGACAACAAUUGAUUUGAACUAUUUCGAUCUUUUCGCUUUUGAACAAUCUAUUAAUUGGUCGAAAUUCGUACCAGAAAACUUUGAAAUAUUGCCUGCUAGGGCAAAGCAAAACUGAACUGAGAAAUGCAAUUGGAAGAUAUGAACUAUGAGAUUACAUGGUUCAGAUUCACCUAAAACCUUUCCUUCAAAAGACCUCGGUGCAAUUUAAGCGAAAAUCUACCCCUUAAUAACAAUCAUUUCUAACACAGGCUACAACGUGUGGCAAUUGUAUUUGAUCCACAAUUUCUAACACAGGCUAUCUUAGACAUGUAGGGGGGAUGGGAACGAUUCGAUUUGGAAACGGAAAUGCCAUAUCCAUCCUCAUAACCAUGAAAAUUAACCAUCCUUACUCCCUAGGUAAUAGGCAGGAUCCAAAUAAAUUUGUUCCGAGUCUACGAGCAAUGCGAGCUCAGAUACUCUGCUUUUAAGAAGAAAAUGAUACAAUAAUUAGAAGAAUAAACAUGAUUUUGAAUAUUUAUUUGCUUCAUAUCUCUUGUAUAUUUUGCGUGGAGAUAUUUAUGUAUUCAAUUAAUAUGCCCGAAAGGUAUACGAGUUUUGUAAUUAAAUUAAGAACCUAGUAAUUAGUAUACAACUAAACUGGUUUUAUGAACAAAUAAAUGGUGAUCGAAUGUAAAAGAAUGAACAAUUUGUCGAAGGCGCAUCGAUUCUUAAAACCACCUCUGUCGCUUCGAGCAUUUAAUUUAACAUUUGCAGAACUUGAAAACAUUCAAUCUCAAGCUUCUGGUGUGCUCGCUAGUCAGAUAACUUUCGUUCAAAACAUGCAUCCAUAUAUCGACCUUACCUGUCCGAGCGCCAACUUGCCAGAGACGAAGCCACAUUUGUUUCGCUAAAAAAAGCACAGACGUGCCUUACAUAGCAAGGUAUCAUAAAGCUUUAAGCGUGAGCGACAGCCCUUGCUCUGGCCAGAGACUUGGAGUAGAGUUCUUCGUACCGUGAUGCAGAAGUAUCCCAACUGAAAUCUAUAUUCAUGACCUUCUGAACAAGCUGCUGCCAACUAUCCGGCUUAUUCAUGUAGAGGGCGAAUGCACGUCCCAAGGCCCCGUUGAAUCCCUGUGGCGUUUCCAAGUCAGGAUACAGUAAAUCAUGGACAAGAAAAACUAGAAUAACAUACUGGAGGGGAGAAAAAUCACAACACGAGGAAAGGAUCUACGAUCAAAUUGCAAGCCUUGAGCACCAAUGCCAGAUCAAAAACGAAAGAAAAGGAAAGAAAAGGAAAGAAGAAUGUAUAUGGAUGGGCUUUACCUGUUCGUUAGGAGUCAAGAAUGAAUAUCCAUUCCGAAACUGAAGAGGUACGGUGUCGUCAUCAACAUCAAAAACACUGCACAUUAAGUAUUUUAGGAGUUAAGGUUCCUCUAGAAGGAAUAACCUAAAUCGCUAGUAGAACGGAUAAAAUAGGUCAGGCAGUGGAUACUCACCUAUCAUUUAGACCACCAGUUUUUCUUACAAUGGGUAUAGAACCGUAUCUCAUGGCUAUCAUCUGCCCAAGAAAAAGCACAAGUUAAUCCAGCAUGAUGUAGCGAGUAGUGUGCUGAAGUUUUGCGCAGGAAAGAGAACAGACUUUACCUGUGUAAGUCCACAAGGCUCAAAGAUAGACGGGAUGAUGAACAUAUCAGAAGCAGCAAAAAUGGCAUGGGAAAGAGAGUCGUCGUACUUCAAUAUCAAACGAACAUGAUCAUGAUUCUCAAAAUGGCUUGCAAGACCCUCAAAUUCGCUCUACAAUAGCAAACAACACAACAAAAAACCUUUCAGUUAUAGAUUAGAUCAUCAGAUAAUGAAGAGACUACUAAGUAUUUACAUCUACCGGACGGGAGAAUCCAGCGUAUUUAUAACUUCAAUCAAUUUGAAACAUUUAUAUCCAUUUGUUAAUUAAAUAAGCAUGACAAACAAACAAUAAAGAACACGAUAUUAAAUUGGACUUUUCUAUCGCUUUGGACUUGAACUCAGAAUCUUAGCAAUAUAUUGGAUUAGAGAAUAGGUAUUAUGUUUGAUACUGCUUUCAACUUAGCGAUACAUUAAUAUGGUUAGAGACAACAGAGAUACAUUCCCUGCUUGAGCAUAAAAUAACAGCGUAAUUUUCUAACAGUAACGAACAUAGCCAGGAUAUAAUAUCAAAACGGAAGAUAGAGCAGUGCCUGAAUAUGAUGCACUGGGCUAGAACCCAGAAGUACAAACUGUCCUCCGAGCUCCAAUGUUCGAUAUAUCGCAUGUCUGAUAAGAUGUACACCUUUCUGUGGCACCAAUCUUGUUAUGCAGCCCACCUAUUAAAGGAUUGAUCAAACAAUUUCAAUUAAGUAUUCACUCAUCUGGAUUACCGAAAAUAGAAUAAUGAUGCCAUUUUAUAGAGUACCAGAUAUGAUUCCAAGUGCAGAGAAAAUUUAACAGAAAAUGAAAUUACCAAUGGCCUCUUGACAUCUGCCGAAGAAAGCCCCAGAGUUCUUCUUAAAGCUUCCUUAUUUUCUGCUUUCCCCUGACGAUCAUUAGCACUGUACUGUACUUUGAGAUACGCAUCAGUGGCAGGAUUCCAUGCAUCAGCAUCAAUACCAUUUAGAACUCCAUUGAACUUCUUAGAAUGAAAAUUUAGUGUUGAAUGGAGACCGUGUCCUCCCUGUGAUCAUAAAUAAACAACUAUUUUUUUACAAACGGAAGUUCAAGAAUUCAAAAAAUUGGCUAACUACACAAAACUUUUCACCCAUAGCAUCUUAAUCAAUUUCAAGGCUGUCUGCAGUAAAGUUAUUUUGACUGUCACGAAAGUCCAAAACAGAGACUGUGUCUAUGAUGUAUUUUUUACAUGAGUAGGGAAGAGAUAUAUUGUUCUCUUUUCUCAUCUGUGAAGUGUACUAAUGCCCAAAAACAGAAUAAAAGUGGGAUGUUGAGUAUCCAACAUGAAGAACCUUUUGAUUAGGAGCCACAUAAUUUACUAGAGGUCCAACAACUGAUGACUUCUAUAUCAAAGCUCUCUUAGAAAAGCACAAUUUUGAAAUUUUUUCUUUCAUCUGAAGAGGCCAACAUCAUGUCAACACAAAUCCACAAACAAAAUCAUACACUUAGAUGUUGAUAUCUCUAACGUGUGUGGAAUCUGGAUUACUAUGUAUACAAGAGAGACAUAUUUACACAAUUUAUGACGGAAACUUACAUUUGGUGAAAAUUAUUAGAUUCUCCAAAAUCAAAUGUUAAAAGGAAACAAUGCCUAUAGGCUGGGUCGGGGCAAGAAAUUUGAAUUUGAAUCUGAUAUCUAUAGGAAACUGUUAGUAUGAGCAAAAGCCAUACCUCAGCAGUCAGCACCUCUUGUGCAUAGGUGGGUGAUACUGUUGUCACGAUAUUAGAGAAUACAACUGCACCCUUAAAGAGAGAAGUACAAAAAUGAUAAUGGAAUCAGGAAAGCUUUUGCCAACUCCCGAAAUGCUGGUAAUAAAUGAAUCAACAAUUGCUAUACCUUAACAGCAUUGAUCCUAUCAUGUGCUGAGUUGUCCUGCAUUCUAUCUGGUCUAUUUAGCUGGUGGACAUCAAGACCACAAGAUGCCAAUUCUGAAGCAGGUGCAGUCCCUUGGUAUUCAAAGUUGUGGCAUGUAAAACAUAUUCUAGCUGAGUUCAAUCCAUUUGGCGCAUAUAGGUCCCAGUAAAGUGGAGCCUAAGAACAGCAACAAGUUAAGAGAGAGAGAGAGAGAGAGAGAGAGAGAGAGAGAGAGAGAGAGAGAGAGAGAGAGAGAGAGAGAGAGAGCAUGGUAAAGGAAAAUGAAGGUUUAAGGGUCCAUACAACAAAAGCUGUCUGCCAAUCAUGGCAGUGAAUUAUGUCUGGUUGCUUGCCAGAUUGAAGAAGCAACUCAAGGGCUGCACGACUGAAAAAGGAAAAUCGCUUGAAAUCAUCAUGUUCCCCAUAAAACCGUCCUCUCCAGAAAAACUUAUCAGGAUGCAGAGGCUCAAUAAAAUAAACAGGAAGACCUGCAUAAUCAACACCAGAGUGAGCAUCCAAGACUACAGUAAGAAUCCAAGACAAUAAUAUGUCAUGCAAACGAAACUUUCAAUGUACAAACCUUCAACAGUGCCAACCCAGACUUUAUUUUUGAAUAGUCGACCGUCAAAGUAUGACUCUAACACCAGAUCUAGGGCCUGCAUGUUAAAGUGUAAUGAAACUCAAGUAGAAAAUGCAUCUUUUCUAAAAUUAAUUAACUAUUCAACGUACCCUUAGGUCAGGAACACGAUCGUACUGCAUGCAGUCAUAUUUGGGAAGAACAAUUUCCACAAGGUGUCCCUUCUUCUGCAGUGCUUUACCAAGACCAGCCACAACAUCCCCCAAACCACCAACCUGUAAAAUUAACUAGUUAUGUUGAUGGUAUGUUUAUCAAAACAAAAUGGAAGAUCUUUGAGAUGUCCCUAUACAUUUAGACAUGAAUAUUAAACAGUGUUCAACAAAUUCCUGAAUCUGAACUACUGUAAUAAAAGUAAUUAUAGCUUAACAAGUAAGAAACCCCGCUCAAUUAUCUUAAUAGAAUAAAGCAAAGAAAGAUAAAAAUUUAUAGAGGCAAGCUGAACUCACCUUAGCAACUGGUGCCAUCUCUGCUGCAAUAUGAACGACAUGCAAUCCUGGACUAAAAAAUCAACAAACUCACAGAUUAAAUAAAAGCCUAAACACAAAAAUCAACAAACUAGCAAUAUGAACGACAUGCAAUCCUGCAUUCUUCUAAUACUAGAAAGUUCAUACCUUGUUUGUGAUGAUAUCAGUUUGAGAAAUGUAGACACAGCGUCAUGCUCGUUCUUUUCCUUGCAGGCCAUGUAUGAGUCAUGAAUUCGUCUCUCUCUCUUCCAAACCAUUUCUCUCAAUACCUGAGCAUCAUCAAUUGAUAUUUUGUUCUCAAACAACCAACCAUCGAUCAUAAGCAAUAAACGACUCCAAAAUUCCCAUGGCAUAUCAUCCACAGGUUCAUCAACUGCCCUUCUCUUGCUUUCUUCUUUUAGAGUAUUUAGUGUAUCUUGAAAUUCCUCCACAGAUUCUUGAUAUAAUUGAACAUAAGAAUGUAUCUCUUCGUCAGAUCUUUGAAGCCGGUCCUCCAUAAGUUUUAUUUUCUGUUGCAUCAGCUCAUUAUAUCGUUGCAUCUUUUCUGAUGACUCUCUAUAGACAUUAGCUGUUUCAAGAGAUUCUUCUAAUUUAUCAACUUUCUUUUGAAUCUCUUGGUUCUGCUGUAAAACUACAAUAGCUUGAUCUGCCUGUUUGGUUGACUUAUCUAGCAGUAGCUGCAAAUUCUCCACCUUCUCCCAUAAUCCUUUGCAUUCAACUUUAAGAUUGGAUAGUUUGGACACUUCUUCCUGAGAAACUGACAAUUUCGAUUCCAACUCUUUCAACGCAGACUCUAAAGUCGACCGUUGAUUUUCCAGCAUUACCACCCGUUCAUCCGUAUUCUUCACAUAGCUAAGCUCCUCCCUGAGUGCUUCUACAUCAUUCUUUAGGGAUUGAUUUUCCAAUCUCAAUGCAUUCAGAUUGGCAACAAGAGCAUUGAUGCUAGUUCUGUAUGGUAGAGGAGCUUCUUCGUUAAACAGCUGGUCUUCAUUCUCAAAAAUCUCCACCUGACCUCUUUCAACACCACCGUCACCAUUGAGAUUCAGUUCAUUCCGCAUCUUAUCUAACUGGUUUUCCAAAAGUUCCACCUUUAUUUUUUCCUGGGCAGCUACUCUAAUCCGCGCAUCGGUCUCUGCCAAUCUCAUCUCCAAAGCAUUCAUCUGUCCUUGCAAUGCCUCCUUCUCACCGAGAAUCUUGUCAAGGUCUUCAAGCGCAUUAACCCGCGCCCGGUUGAGAAGAUGGAUAUCUAAGGCCACAAAAGAGAUAUACAUGUUUCACAAAUCUAAUAAAUGAGGAAUAAACAGUAAGGCCUGUUUGGGACUGCUUAUAGGAUGCUAAAAGCACUUUUGACCAUGUUUGAAAGAAAACUUAGAAACACUUAUACAUAAAUCAAGUGCUUUCUUAUCAUAAAAGUGGUUUCUUAACUGCUUUCCAUAAAGCACUAGAAUUUCUAAUAGAAAAUUCGAAGUUUUCAAAUAAAGGAGCUAGAAGUGCUUAUGCACGAAAGUGCUUCUUACAAAAGCAGUCCCAAACGGACCAUAAUUGAAGGCAAAUGAACAGGGCAGAGUAAUAACCUACUUUUCUCUGCAUUUCUAAUCAUGCCAACCAAAUCCUGAGUAUUAUACGCCUGUAAAGCCAACAAGCAAUCAAACUCAUAACAAUAAUUUAAUAAUUAACACGAACUCUUGAGUGUUGAUAAGCAAAGAUGAAGAGUUACCGAAGGAUUUGCUUGAUCAGACGGAGUUAAAGUUGUCAAAAUCGAAUCGUUUCCAUUGGCAGUGGGAGCUUCGUGAUCAGAUACGCUUUCAAUGGGGACGAUGACGCCCGCCGAAGAAGCACCGUCAGAUUCGGAGUCGUCGUUGCCAUUGAACCGGAAAUCUGUAGUCGUCGAAGGCUGUUCAACCGAGCCUUUCUUCCUUAGUCUAUGCCUCUUAUUCACGCAAUUGCAACUUCAAAAGUCGAAGUCGAAUCAAAAUUAUCAUCAAUCACUCGAUCAAGCAGAUUGAAGUUUGAGAAUUUGAUCGAUAAACGAUUUCAGAGAGAAAGAGAGGAGGGAGAGAGAGAGAGAGGAGGGGGAAGGUACCUGAGAUUACGGUGCCGGGGCUUGCAGGAAGAAGCAGGAGAGCAGUGAAACGAAAAGCGAGCGUUUGAAUAUGAGCGGUGGCGGGAGGUGGAGUUGGAGCCGGUACUGCUGAGCCCCUGGGUGACGAACCAGGUCGUUAGUCUGACCGCCAUUGAUGAUCAACUCAAGCUUUCUCUCUCCUCUUUCGGUGGAGAGAGAGAAGAAGAAGUGGUUUCUUUGGCACAACGACUAACAGUCGUUUUAUCGUACGACUCGGGGGCGAAUAUAAGCAGAGGAUGUCUCCCGUCCAAGGAAAGUAAUCGAAUAUUCUAACUUUUUUACUUUUCUAUUUUUUAUUAAUCAUUCUGUUGGAAUUAAUAAAAAUAAAAAUAAAAAUAAAAAUUGGAUUAGUAAGCGAAUGAGGAUGCUCUUUGUGAGGAUACGAAGAUUUUUAAAUCGUGUCCAUUUAUUGUAUACUGUAUAGUUAAUUUUUUUCAUGUACUAUUUAUAUUUAAUUUUACAUAAAAAUAUUUAAAAUAAUUUUUAUCUACAUAAUGUACGAUGAGACACAAUUUAAAAAAUUUUUAAAUCCCCAUAAAAAGAAUCCGGAAAGCAUCCUCUUCCUUUGUAAGCAAUAUUAAGGAGGGUGAGGUGUAGAAUGUAGAUGGAAACCGAGGUGAGUGAGUCACCUUAUCUAAAUCGAACGGUGAUGGGGUGUGGGCCAAGGUCCAUAACAGGUGGGCCCUUCCACAAAAAAUUUCUUAUGAUAAAAACCUACCACGAAAUUUGGAAGUUGGAUAAUUGAAAGCGAAUAAGUUGGGAAGUUCGUUUCUAAUGGAUGAAGUUCUUAAUAUAUCUUUAGAUUUAAUAGAAAUAAAAAAGAUGGCGUUAGUAAAAAUGAUAAUAGUGCAACACAUUGUAAGUUUGAAGAUUAAAUAAAUUAAAAGUAAAUUACAUAGUAACCCCUUAGGUUUGAGGUCUAUUACAACUCCAUACAACAACUUUAAAACAUUUCAUUUUCAUACAUCCAGUACCAUUUUAUUUCAAAAUAACACCUCCGUUAGAUUUUCCAUCCAUUAGUCUGUUAAAUGCUGACGUGGCUACCACAUUUGUGCUGAUGUGGCUGCCACGUGGCAAAAAAAGAUAUUUUUUUAUUUUUUAUUUUAAAAAAAAUCUAAAUCUUCUAAAUAUUAAAAUUAUAAAAAAUAAAUAAAUAUUUUAAAAAAAAAAAACUAGAAAAUCCCGAAACCCAGAUCCCUUCCUUACCCCCCACCCUUCUGCAACUCCCAAAAUCCUCUCUUCUCCUCGCAACCCCAAAACCCAUAUCCGCCAUCUUCAUCUUCUUCCCUGAAAACCUAGAAAUGAUAACCCCCCACCCCACCCCACUCGCGUCCCCCACCCCAAAACCAAAAACCCAGAACACCCCUUCCCCACCCACGACCCUCCCUGUGCACCCCCUAACCCACGACCCUUCCUCCCUCCGCACCCACCAUCUUUCAUUCUCUACACACCCCCACUCUCCUCUACACACCCCCCACUCUCUACACACCCCCAUCGCCGACCCAAUUGCUUCUUCUACCACCACCGCCACCGCAAACAAUCAAGACAUCAGCUUGCUUUAAGUUAUGUACGCCAUGGAAGCUGCGGAGGCCACAAUCAAGCAGCAGGUGGAAUACAACAUUCGGUUACGGGCUCAGCUCGAAUACAAGAUUCUUGAGCUGCACAGGUACAAGCUCCACGAAUCCAUGGCCGCCCAAUUGCCGCAUUCCGCCCGCGAAUCUCAGGACCAAGCUCAUCAGGUAGCUGCCGCUGGCGUCUACAAUCGAAUCGAGAGGAUUGCGAAUCACGGUUCGUCAUAGCAGAGUCGUGGGGAAUCGAAAACAAGAGAGACCCAAUUGGGCAGCAGCGAAAUCAAUGAAGGUGGUUCGGGUUUUUGGUACUCCAACGGCGGCUGAUAACGCAAGCAAUGGGAUAUCGAGAUUGUCAUCGCCGUCUACGAUGACGUCGCUUUCACCAGGCAGGUCGAGCAUGGAGGGGGAUUACGGAAAUGGGUUGAUGCCAUUGACCGAGUCGAACAACCCUAAUAGCAGAAUGUUGAAGAAGGAUCUGGUUGUUAGGGUUCAUAAGCACGAUCAAGAAAUUAUGCAAUUGCGAAAGCAUUUGGCGGAUUAUUCGAUCAAAGAGGCGCAAACUCGGAACGAAAAGUAUGUGCUGGAGAAGCGCAUUGCAGGUUGUGGGUGGGUUGCGGGUUCAGCUUGAAUUUGGUUUUUGGUUUUGUUUUUUUUUAUUUAGAAGAUUCAAGUUUUUUUUUUAAAUUAAAAAAUUAUUAUUUUUGCCACGUGGCACACAUUUGGCAGCCACGUGGCACAAAUGUGGCAGCCACAUCAUCACUUAACGGAUCAAUGGAUGGAAAAUGUAACGGAUGUAUUAUUUUGAAAUAAAAUAGUACUUGAGGUAUGAAAAUGAAAUGUUUUAAAUAUGUUGUAUGGGGUUGUAAUAGACUUCAAACCUGAGGGGCUACUAUGUAAUUUACCCAUAAAUUAAUAUGAGAUUUCAGAACCUAAAUGCAAAUUUUUUAUCUGUAUAUAUAAAUAGACAAGAUAAAAUUGAUCAAGCUUUCGUAAUAGUCAAAUUACCUUUCUCUCAUUAGAAUUAAUAAUAAUAAUAAUAAUAAUCACAAAAAACCACACACAUAGUGAAAUUGUGGUCGGUUACGUUCAUUAUUUUCUAAAUAUAUUUUAAUAAAAUUAGUAAUAUUAAAAAACAAUAAAAGAGUAAAAAAAAAAAAACAAUUACCACGUUGGAGUGUGACAGGAGACUAGUCUAUAUAUAAAGUUAGCAUUUUUUUUGUAUCUCCUAUAAGAGCAGCUCCACCAGAGUUGAUAGCCAUGUGGACAGGGGACCAAUUCAACCUAAUCCCUUCCCUUCCUUGCUCCAGCCUAUGAGGGCGAUUGGGCUAAAGGGGGCUCGUGUGAGAGGGGAGGUAGGAGUCCAAAGCCUGAGCGCUUGAGGCAUGUCUGAUGCAAAGAUGACGUCAAGCACGUUAUACAUUUUGUUUGCAUAAGGCGCGUGCAUCACAUGUGCGUGUGGGGGCGCGUCACCGACUAGAUUUCAGUCAGUGGGACCCGCAGUUUGAAUUCUGAAACGUUACUUUGUGGGUGCCACGUGGCAACCUCAAGGCUGUUGGAUUUCAAUAGAUACUUUUUUUGGACCAUUGGAUUUCCAAUGGUAAAAAAAAAUAUUCAAACCUCCCCCAACGACUAGAUGAUAUGGCACAAUCUCAGUUGUUGGAUUUCAGCUCAACGGUCCACGUUAUUUGCCUUUAAAAAUUUCAAAAAAAAAUCAGAUAUAUUACCGUUGUGCCACGUGGCACAAUCUGGAAGGUUGGAUUUCAAUUUUUCUUUAAUCCAACAACAUAAAUUAAUUAAGUUAAUAAAAAAUGUAAAAAGUUAUUUUUUAUUAUUUUAUAAAAUAAAAAAAUACUAAUAUUUUAUUGUCUAUUACCAUGACUAUUUAGUUUAGAGGUGGAGAUGCAAAAGAUAAUUAUUGUUCAUUAAAGGUAAUUACUAUUCACUGGAAGGGAUUCAAUAGGCAGUUGCCCUCAGGGCCUUCCAACACUAGAAGUUCUCUAAGUAAAGUUAGCACCUUAAAAUAAUAAAUUUUUCUAUAUCUAUACAAAGAAUGUCUCUCUCUAAUUAGAAUGUUAAAAUAAAAGUAUUAAUUUAAAAAAUUACUUAAGGAUUCUGAAAAAUAAAAGAUUCCAACAUAGUGGGCAUUAUUUCUUUGAAAUUUAAAAUAACUAUGAAAUCAAUAUUUUAAAUAAAUUACAAAAUAAAUUUGAAAAACUCAAUUAUCACAUGAGUUAAUCGGUGACAAGAGGCUAGUUUUAUAUACACCAUAUAUUAACAAUAAUCAUAACUCAAACUUUUAUUCACGAUUUAACUCAAAUUUAUGAAAUUUAAGUUGACCACUUUUUUUAUAUUUUAUUUUUUUGCACAAAAUUUAUGUUGAUUAUUACGAUUGGGAAAUUGUUACUCUUUCCACAAGCUGUGAUCAGCAAAGCCACUGACACUCCUGAUGAACAAAUCCACCAAUUACCCAUCUUUUUCUUUGCGCUUCUGCUCCUCCUCCUGCCGUUCCGCCGUCCAAUCUCCGCCUGCUCAGCCGUCGCAGGACCCCGCCACCUUCAUAGCCUUCCUGCAACACGCGCCCGACCCCACAAAACACACACUCUGAAACACUGUUCACUGCGCGCUUCCUGUUUUACCCCUGCCAAGUUUGCAUUAUUACAUUUCUUCUUGCCUCCAAGCAGGCAGCCAUUUUGCUCCGGAUCUUUCACAUUGAAAUUCCUCUCCUUCUACCUUUGCAUGUUGAAUUUCACAUCAACAGCAUCUCCCUAUAAGCUAGGAGCUUUGUUCUGUAAAAGUUCUAGUGAAUGACAAUGAGUGUUUGAUAUUACUUGAAUGACAAGUAACUUGUUUAUGGGUUAUUUGUUAUAAAAGUGAUAUAGUUGAUCUCCAACUCAUAAGGAUUAUGGAGUCUGAUAUUCAUGCAGCUAACUUGAUCAAAUCCUGAUAAGGGUUUAAUGCAAAGAUAUUGAAUCAUGAUAGGACUCUUUCAUCAUUUAGAUGAUAAGGGUAUGCGACCGUUGAUAGGCCGAUGGCGUAACCCUAACUGAUAUAUAUAUAAAUAUAUGAAGUUGUAGUCCGUGCUCCCAUACGUGAAAAACCCUAAAUAUUGCUUAAACCUAUUCACACAGUAAGGGAGCUAUUGAGUAGUGGGAGUAUAAGACUGACUUGCGUUACAAUCAUGGCAUAAAAUACAAGUAGGUGUUCCUGCAAUUAAUUUUUGAUAUACACUACUAUAUAUUCUGUAUGAGUUAGUUGUAUUGUAACCCUAGUACCUAGUUGUUGUAGUUUGGCUUAUGAGUUUUAUAUAACUGCUUACAUGUUCGGCUUCAAGCUUUCCGACGGUAAUUGGACGAUUCCUCAAACGCCCGCCAUCAAGGUUAGUCUCAAACUAUUCCUACCUUAUUGACCUUUUGCAUCUCAAAAUAUGCUUCAAAUUUGUGAUUUAAUAUAAUUGGGCUUUAGUCUAAUCCAAUUUAACGAUAAGAAAUUCCAGCUGGGGAUGGGACUGCAAUUUCAUCUGCUCCAAACAAAUAGAUUCCUUUUAAUCUGAAUUUAGAGAAUUAUAUUUGAAUUUUUUUUAUAUAUGUGAGCUGCUUUUCUAGGAUUUUGUCUUAAAGAGUUCAUCUUGAUCAUACACACGAGUCUGAUAUUAUCAAGUAAGAUGCCCAAGUCCUCUUGCAUUCAUAUAAUUACAUUUGUGAGCUGCUUUUCUGGGUUUUUGUGACAUAUGAAGCAGGCUCUUGUAUAUUACACUAAAAUAAAAUUGUCUAUUUUUCUAUUUUCCCUUAAAAAAUGGAAGGUAGAAAAAAAUAAUAUAUAUUGGCUUAUUAUAUUAGCAUCCCACAAAUUGUUGAAUAAACCUCACAUACUUAAUACACCCCACAUUUUCUUUUUCAAUUAAAAAUUAUUUUAAUACACCACACUUCCUUCCUCAUAAUACCCUCACACCCCACAUUCUUAAUAUACACCUUACAUUUUCUACAUAAACCCCACAUUUUUUAUAUACCCCACAUUUCUAAAAUCUUAUAACACUCAUUUUUAAUUUUGCCGAAUGAUUUCAAAGUAUCUGAACGUUAGUUUGCCGAAUGAUUUCAAAUUGAAUACAACAACAACAACAAAGCCUUUUCCCACUAAGUGGGGUCGGCUAUAUGAAUCCUAGAACGCCAUUGCGCUCGGUUUUGUGUCAUGUCCUCCGUUAGAUCCAAGUACUCAAGUCUUUUCUUAGGGUCUCUUCCAAAGUUUUCCUAGGUCUUCCUCUACCCCUUCGGCCCUGAACCUCUGUCCCGUAGUCACAUUUUCGAACCGGAGCGUCAGUAGGCCUUCUUUGCACAUGUCCAAACCACCGGAACCGAUUUUCUCUCAUAUUUCCUUCAAUUUUGGCUACUCCUACUUUACCUCGGAUAUCCUCAUUCCCAAUCUUAUCCUUUCUCGUGUACCCAUACAUCCCAUGAAGCAUCCUCAUCUCCGCUACACCCAUUUUGUGUACGUGUUGAUGCUUCACCGCCCAACAUUCUGUGCCAUACAACAUCGCUGGCCUUAUUGCCGUCCUAUAAAAUUUUCCCUUGAGCUUCAGUGGCCUACGACGGUCACACAACACGCCGGAUGCACUCUUACACUUCAUCCAUCCAGCUUGUAUUCUAUGGUUGAGAUCUCCAUCUAAUUCUCCGUUCUCUUGCAAGAUAGAUCCUAGGUAGCGAAAACGGUCACUUUUUGUGAUCUUCGCUAGAUUGCUCCAGUCAUUAGUGUGGAUAAGUAUAUAAAUGGAUAGAGAUAGGAAAGCAAUCACAAGAUGUACGUGGUUCACCCAGAUUGGCUACGUCCACGGAAUAGAGGAGUUCUCAUUAAUUGUGAAGGGUUUACACAAGUACAUAGGUUCAAGCUCUCCUUUAGUGAGUACAAGUGAAUGAUUUAGUACAAAUGACAUUAGGAAAUAUUGUGGGAGAAUGAUUUCGUAACCACGAAACUUCUAAGUACUGGAGUGUGGUAUCGUCUUGACUUUCCUUAUCUGUCUCAUAGGUAGAUGUGGCAUCUUCUCUGGAAGUACUCUUCCUCCAUCCAGGGGUGGUAUCUGUAACUGGUGGAGAUGCACAAGGUAAUGUAUCAAUGUUCACUUGAAGCUUACUUGUAGUUUCAGGCUUGGUCAAGCGCGAUACAAACCAUGUAGUAGGAGUCCCCCCAAGUCGCCGAGCUAGGGGAUCUGCUGAAAGAGGUGACAGACAAGGUAAGCAAUCAGAGCUCCGGCUGAUUGUUCAUAUUCUCCCUAUCUUGCAGGCAGCAUGAAGGAUAAAGAGAAGAAAAAUGAGAAGAGAUGAUAUGGGAUACUUUUGCUUUUGAAGAAGUAACUUUCCACAGGCUUAUUCUUGAACUGGGCUGGAGGGUUUUCUGGUUUCCUCCAGAGAUAAGGCCGACUGAAGAAUUUGAGGGUCAAAACAAGUCCAUCAAAUCUAGAGUACGUUCGACCCUGCUGAUAUGGGAUACUUUUGCUUUUGACAGAGUAAUGGAUGUAUCGGCACGUGUGCUGUUACGCUUGUCUCCACAUGCUUCCUUGUAUCCUUCUCACUUGCCCUAUUUGUUCCUCAGGCAGAUGCGGGAUCUUCCCUGGAAGUAUAAGAUGUUGAAGAUGAGUACUCGAGAGCAAUGCCAGGUAAGUAAUCAGGUAAGGGGUUCCAGGCAGUCAGUUCCUGGCUGGAAGCUUGAUUCCAAGUGCUGACUGAUUGCUCUCUUUCUCCUUGUCUUGCAGGUAAGAACAAGGCCAAAGGAAAAGACAGGGAAAAAGCAUGAUAUGGGAUACUCUUGCUUUUAACCCUGAUGAUAUGAGAUAUUCUUGCUCUAGUAUAGCUUGUUUACAGAGGUAUUAUCGGGGGGAAAGAAAGCUGAAUAUUUCGAAAGGCUUCGUUGGGAUUGCCCUCUCAGAUAAGAGGAAGGGUUGAGCAUUUUUGCAGGUCUGCAUGUCCGUUGAGGAUGGAGGUCGACAUAUAUAGAAGUCUCCCUAACAUCAAGUAAUAAUGCUAUUCCUUUACCCUACUUGGUCAUAGCACGGUAGUGGGAGCUGCCAGCUUCACAAGUUUUAACUCUGUCAGAGCACUUUGAAAAAGUGGUCUGUGGUAUCUGGAAAGCUGAUGUUGCGUGUGAAGAUUACAGACAAACUUUAUCCAAGGAGAUCCAGCUCUUGAAGUUGGGAAAGUGGUGCCUCUUCGGUUUUCGAACAAGCAAUCCUGUCGGGGAUCUGGCUCUCGAGAUUCGGAGAACAAUGCCUCUUCGAUUUUUGAGAAAGCAAUCCUACUGGGGGUCUGGUUCUCGAGAUUCGGAGAGCGGUGUCUUCGAUUUUUGAGAAAGUAAUCAUGUUGGGAGUCUGGCUCUCGAGAUUCGGAGGGCGGUGCCUCUUUGAUUUUGGAGCAAGCAAUCUUGUUGGGAGUGUUUUCUCGAAUGUGAGUAAAGGUUGGGCAUGUUUGCUAGUCUACCUUGCCACGAAGCAUAGAGGUUGACAUACAGGGACUUUCCAAUUAUCCAGCAGUGGUACUGUUCCUUUACCCUAUCUUCGAUUUUUGAGAAAGUAAUCAUGUUAGGAGUCUGGCUCUCGAGAUUCGGAGGGCAUGUUUGCUAGUCUACCUUGCCACGAAGCAUAGAGGUUGACACACAGGGACUUUCCAAUUAUCCAGCCGUGGUACUGUUCCUUUACCCUCUCUUCGAUUUUUGAGAAAGUAAUCAUGUUGGGAGUCUGGCUCUCAAGAUUCGGAGGGCGAUGCCUCUUCGAUUUUGGAGCAAGCAAUCUUGUUGGGAGUGUUUUCUCGAAUGUGAGUAAAGGUUGGGCAUGUUUGCUAGUCUACCUUGCCACGAAGCACAGAGGAGCAGUGGUACUGUUCCUUUACCCUUGUGGGUAAUAAUAUGGUAGCUAGACCUUCAAAAUUUAUGUGUCUAAACUUUGUUAGUGUUGUUUCUUUGCUAAUCUUUUACCCUUCUUGGUCAGAGUGAUGUAGUGGGAGCUGCAAGCUUCACGUGUCUCAACUUUGUCAGAGAACUUUGUCAGAGAACUUUGGCAAGUUAUCUGUGGUACCCAUGAGCUACUGUUGCGUGUGGGAAGUGGGUGAUUGAACAGUAAGAUUCAUGUGCUUUUCUACUUCGCCAGAAAUCUUCGACAGAAUGCCCAUAAUUUCCGCAAAGCUGAGUGUGCGUGUGACAGGUGCUGACAAGGCUGGAAAAAGUAGGUGCCUCUUCGAUUUCUGAGAUCGGCCCUCGUGGUCUCUGAGCAGCCCAGCUUUUGAGAAAGCAAGCCUCUUCGAUUUCUGAGAUCGGCCUUCGUGGUCUUUGAGCAGCCCAGCUUUUGAGAAAGCAAACGCCUCUUCGAUUUCUGAGAUCGACCCUCGUGGUCUCUGAGCAGCCCAGCUUUUGAGAAAGCAAACGCCUCUUCGAUUUCUGAGCAGGCGCCUCUUCGAUUUCUGAAGCUUCCGUCGAGUGCAGAUUUUUAUAGGGGCUGGCAUUAAGUUCCAAAGCACACUUGAAUCUCCACCAGUAGAAGCUUCCAUUCUUGCACUUCUAAGAUCUUGAUUUGUCCGACCUCUUCUCUCUUCAACACCUUUGAAAAUGUCUGGCCCCUCCGACCGUCGUUUUGACUUGAACCUUGUUGAAGAGGCAGCCCCGCCUUCUCCAGACAACAUAUGGCGCCCAUCCUUCGUCUCCCCUACUGGUCCUCUUACCGUUGGGGAUUCCGUGAUGAAGAAUGAUAUGACCGCUGCGGUGGUGGCCAGGAACCUUCUCACUCCCAAAGAUAACAGACUACUUUCCAAACGGUCUGAUGAGUUGGCUGUUAAGGAUUCUCUGGCUCUCAGUGUUCAGUGUGCAGGUUCUGUGUCUAAUAUGGCCCAACGCCUAUUUGCUCGAACCCGCCAAGUUGAAUCAUUGGCGGCUGAAGUGAUGAGUCUCAAACAGGAGAUUAGAGGGCUCAAGCAUGAGAAUAAACAGUUGCACCGGCUCGCACAUGACUAUGCUACAAACAUGAAGAGGAAGCUUGACCAGAUGAAGGAAUCUGAUGGUCAGGUUUUACUUGAUCAUCAGAGAUUUGUGGGUUUGUUCCAAAGGCAUUUAUUGCCUUCGUCUUCUGGGGCUGUACCGCGUAAUGAAGCUCCAAAUGAUCAACCUCUGAUGCCUCCUCCUUCUAGGGUUCUGUCCAGUACUGAGGCUCCGAAAUGAUCCCCCUCCGGUGCCUUCUCUUUCUGGGGCUCUACCGACUGCUGAGACUUCUCCUAAGCAACCUUUGUGAAGGCUCCCUCUUGUUUGUUUAUUUUGACUCAAGUAUAUGUACAUAUUUGUAACUUAUCGGGGAUAUCAAUAAAUAAGCUUUCCUUCAUUUCAACGUAUUGUGUUAAAUACACCAAAGCCUUCUUCGCUAAGUUCUUUGAAUUUUCUUUUGUUGAAGCUUGUAUGUUGAAGCUUUGUGAGUGGAGCAUGUAGGUUGAGGUAGUGUUCCCUUAAUUUCCCGAGUGAGGAAAACUUCUCGGUUGGAGACUUGGAAAAUCCAAGUCACUGAGUGGGAUCGGCUAUAUGAAUCUUAGAACGCCAUUGUGUUCUGUCCUGUGUCAUGUCCUCCGUUAGAUCCAAGUACUCUAAGUCUUUUCUUAGGGUCUCUUCCAAAGUUUUCCUAGGUCUUCCUCUACCCCUUCGGCCCUGAACCUCUGUCCCAUAGUCGCAUCUUCUAAUCGGAGCGUCAGUAGGCCUUCUUUGCACAUGUCCAAACCACCGUAACCGAUUUUCUCUCAUCUUUCCUUCAAUUUCGGCUACUCCUACUUUACCCCGGAUAUCCUCAUUCCUAAUCUUAUCCUUUCUCGUGUGCCCACACAUCCAACGAAGCAUCCUCAUCUCCGCUACACCCAUUUUGUGUACGUGUUGAUGCUUCACCGCCCAACAUUCUGUGCCAUACAGCAUCGCCGGCCUUAUUGCCGUCCUAUAAAAUUUUCCCUUGAGCUUCAGUGGCAUACGGCGGUCACACAACACGCCGGAUGCACUCUUCCACUUCAUCCAUCCAGCUUGUAUUCUAUGGUUGAGAUCUCCAUCUAAUUCUCCGUUCUUUUGCAAGAUAGAUCCUAGGUAACGAAAACGGUCGCUCUUUGGUAUUUCUUGAUCUCCGAUCCUCACCCCUAACUCGUUUUGGCCUCCAUUUGCACUGAACUUGCACUCCAUAUAUUCUUCUGUCUUUGAUCGGCUUAGGCGAAGACCUUUAGAUUCCAACACUUCUCUCCAAAGGUUAAGCUUUGCAUUUACCCCUUCCUGAGUUUCAUCUAUCAACACUAUAUCGUCUGCGAAAAGCAUACACCAAGGAAUAUCAUCUUGAAUAUGUCCUGUUAACUCAUCCAUUACCAACGCAAAAAGGUAAGGACUUAAGGAUGAGCCUUGAUGUAAUCCUACAGUUAUGGGAAAGCUUUCGGUUUGUCCUUCAUGAGUUCUUACGGCAGUCUUUGCUCCUUCAUACAUAUCCUGUAUAGCUUGGAUAUAUGCUACUCGUACUCCUUUCUUCUCUAAAAUCCUCCAAAGAAUGUCUCUUGGGACCCUAUCAUACGCUUUUUCCAAAUCUAUAAAGACCAUGUGUAAAUCCUUUUUCCCAUCUCUAUAUCUUUCCAUCAAUCUUCGUAAGAGAUAGAUUGCCUCCAUGGUUGAGCGCCCUGGCAUGAUGAACCCGAAUUGGUUGUGUCCGAAACCCGUGUCUCUUGCCUCAAUCUAUGCUCAAUGACUCUCUCUCCCAGAGCUUCAUUGUAUGACUCAUUAGCUUAAUACCCCUAUAGUUCAUGCAAUUUUGUACAUCGCCCUUAUUCUUGUAGAUAGGCACCAAAGUGCUCGUUCGCCACUCAUUUGGCAUCUUCUUCGUUUUCAAAAUCCUAUUGAAAAGGUCAGUGAGCCAUGUUAUACCUGUCUCUCCCAAAACUUUCCACACUUCGAUUGGUAUAUCGUCUGGGCCUACUGCUUUUCUAUGCUUCAUCUUCUUCAAAGCUACAACCACUUCUUCCUUCCGGAUUCUACGAUAAAAAAGAGUAGUUUCUACACUCUUCUGAGUUACUCAACUCCCCUAAAGAAGCACUCCUUUCAUGUCCUUCAUUGAAAAGAUUAUGAAAAUAACCUUUCCAUCUGUCUUUAACCGCGUUCUCUGUAGCAAGAACUUUUUCCAUCCUCAUCCUUGAUGCACCUCACUUGGUUUAGGUCCCUUGUCUUCUUUUCCCUUGCUCUAGCUAGUUUAUAGAUAUCCAACUCUCCUUCUUUGGUAUCUAGUCGCUUAUACAUAUCGUCAUAAGCCGCUAACUUAGCUUCUCUCUCACAGCUUUCUUCGCCUCUUGCUUCGCUUUUCUAUACCUUUCACCAUUUUCAUCGGUCCUAUCCUUGUAUAAGGCUUUACAACAUUCCUUCUUAGCCUUCACCUUUGUUUGUACCUCCUCAUUCCACCACCAAGAUUCCUUUUGGUGUGGGGCAAAGCCCUUGGACUCUCCUAAUACCUCUUUAGCUACUUUUCGGAUACAACUAGCCAUGGAAUCCCACAUUUGGUUAGCUUCCCCCUCUCUAUCCCACACACACUGGGUGAUUACUUUCUCUUUGAAAAUGGCUUGUUUUUCUUCUUUUAGAUUCCACCAUCUAGUCCUUGGGCACUUCCAAGUCUUGUUCUUUUUUUCUCACUCGUUUUGAUAUGUACAUCCAUCACCAACAAGCGAUGUUGAUUAGCCACGCUCUCUCCUGGUAUAACUUUGCAAUCCUUACAAGUUAUACGAUCCCCUUUCCUCAUUAGAAGAAAAUCUAUUUGUGUUUUUGACGACCCAUUCUUGUAGGUGAUCACAUGUUCUUCUCUCUUCUUAAAGAAGGUGUUGGCUAAGAAGAGAUCAUAUGCCAUUGCAAAAUCCAAGAUAGCUUCCCCAUCCUCGUUUCUCUCUCCAAAACCAUGGCCACCAUGAAAACCUCCAUAGUUGCCUGUCUCCCUGCCCACGUGUCCAUUUAAAUCUCCUCCUAUAAAUAACUUCUCCGUCUGAGCAAUUCCUUGCACCAAGUCUCCAAGGUCUUCCCAAAAUUUCUCCUUCGAACUCGUAUCCAACCCUACUUGAGGUGCGUACGCACUAAUCACAUUGAUAAGUUCUUGUCCUAUUACAAUCUUGAUUGCCAUGAUUCUAUCUCCUACCCUCUUGACAUCUACAACAUCUUGUGUCAAGGUCUUGUCCACGAUGAUGCCAACACCGUUUCUCGUUCUAUUUGUGCCCGAAUACCAUAGUUUAAACCCUGAGUUUUCUAGAUCCUUUGCCUUACGCCCAACCCACUUAGUUUCUUGUAGGCACAUAAUAUUUAUCAUUCUCCUCACCAUAACUUCUACUACUUCCAUAGAUUUUCCCGUCAAGGUUCCUAUAUUCCACGUUCCUAAACGCAUUUUGCUCUCUUGAACUCUACCCUUCUGUCCUAACUUCUUCACCCUUCCCCGUCUAAUAGGAUCAAAGUACUUCUUUUGUGUGUCCCGUGUAAAGUUGAUAGGAGCAUAUGCUCCCAAACAACUUUGAGUGGAGUCGUUCGAAAAGAAGUUUCUAUAGCCCCUUGCUCAUUUAACACUGCAUCCGGGUGCCGAUGGAGAUACAGCGACCCUUGCUCAUUUAUCACUGUGCUCGGGCCACACAGCGCGCCACUUACGGGUGACGCCCUAGCUUUAGCGCGAUUUCGUUCUGGAUUCAUGAUUUUGUGUUUCAUUCGUCAAAAAUAAUUUUUCUCAAUCAACAUGUUUGUAGUUUCAUUGCUUAUGGUUUUAUUCAACAAUGGAGGGUGGGAGGGGUUUUUGAUAGUUGAAGUAGAUAAAUAAUACGUUAAAAAUGAUUUGGGGUGUAUUUAUAAAUUUUUUAUUAAUUUUUAAACCUAAUAAGGUCAAAAUUGUCAUUGCAUAGUGGAGUAAAUAAGUCAUUAAUAUUAAUUUUUAAUGUGGGAUGCAUCCAACAUUUUGUGGGGUGCUAAUAUAAAAAGCCUAUAUAUUUUGACGGGAAUAAACCGAAAAUUCCCUUUGUUUCUUCAUUUUCAUCUGAGAGUCGCUUUCAUUUUCCCAUAAGUCCUCACCUUUGCCGGAAACAAAAGCCUUUCGAUUCCCCAAUCAUGGGCUGUGCCGUUGCAAUCACUCUUCUGAUCGCCGCCGCAACGCUGAUCGUCACUCGCCUGCUCUACGUAUUGCACUUAACCGGCAAACCCCACAAACCCCCCAAACCCAGCAGCUCGAAAGGCUCAGCUCCCCAACCCCUCAGCACCCUAAUCGUCUUGGGCUCUGGAGGCCACACGGCGGAGAUGAUCAACCUCUUGUCCGUCCUUCAAAGAGACAGAUUUGCCCCUAGGUUCUACAUCGCCGCCGCCACUGAUAACAUGAGCCUCCAGAAAGCUCGCCUACUGGAAGAGAACGCCGAUGAGAGUUCGAGCUCGCAGUUCAUGCAGAUCUACCGUAGUAGGGAAGUGGGUCAGUCUUAUUUCACCUCUGUUUUGACCACUUUGAUUGCUUUGGCUCAUGGGCUCUGGCUAAUGAUCAGAAUCCGACCCCAAGUGGUAAUCUUUUCGCCUUUUCGAAUUUUCGCAUUUUCGCUAUUUGUUUCAGUUGAUAUGAGACAUUGGAGAUUAAAUUGUCGAUGAUCAGUGCUGUUGGUGUUGCAGAUUCUGUGCAAUGGGCCUGGGACUUGUGUUCCACUUUGUGUAAUUGCAUUCAUAUUCGAGGUUUGGAUUGACCAUUUUGAAUCUGUUGUCAUUUUUCUUUGUUAAGUCUUUUGCCAUUUUGUUCUGUUAUGAAUUUCGGGACCUUUUCGAUAUGUGCAGGUUGUGGGGAUUCGAUGGUCGUCUGUGUUUUAUGUUGAGAGUAUAGCAAGAGUGCAGAGGCUCUCCCUGAGCGGCUUGCUUCUUUACAAGUUACGGAUAGCGGAUCAAUUCUUUGUCCAGUGGCCUCAGCUACAGAAGAAAUAUCCCCGAGCUCACUAUGUUGGUUGUCUCAUGUAGUUGAUCCGAUUCUGCUGCUGCUAUACAUGCUCUAACGUCCAACUUUUCGCAAUGUAAUGUGCGUUUCUCAAGGUUUUAACUUCUACAGUUUAUUUUGUUUCGUCGACCAUAGUUGCCAACAUUUUAGCUUCUUACUAAUUGAAGAAGAGACUGAUAUCAUUGCAUCGAUGAGGAAAGUGUAAAGAUUGUCGAAAUUUAUAGUACUUUUUAGGGCAUACCUGAGAUCAAAAGUUAUGCAUUACUGGGUUCAACUUGUAAUCUUGUAUGCUAGAUAAUUUAACAGUGAUCGCAUUUUGGUUUAUCGAAACUAGGCUUUGUAUCUUUACCUUUUAAUUUCUCUAUCCUUCUCCUUUUGUUAUCGUUGAAGAAUAUUAGUUACAGCUAGAACUGGAAUGAAGGGCAAGCCGGAAGCACUCAUGACAUUGGAGAAUAAAGAAUGACACGUCAAAAAUCAAUCCAAUGAAUAGCAUAGAGAUGGUGAUGCGCACCCACCGGGUAAAAUCUCUGGGCUGAGAAAUUGUUGCUUGUUGGGAGAUUUUCUUAAACUCAAGUGUAUUAUCUUCUUCAGCUUCUUCAGCUGGUAUGAAACACAUAUUUGGAUUACCAUGGAGGUAGCUUCAUCUAUGAUUUAGUUCAUCAGUAAAAUCACAAAUUUUCUUUUAGUUGCAUACGAAUAUGAUCGAUCUGUCAACUAUUCGGUGUUUUUUCUUUGUCUUUUCAACAUAAUGUGCUGUUUACAAUUUCUGUUGCAUGCAAUCUAUCAUUUAAUGUAUGAGAUAUUAUAUAGCCGUUCAGGUUCCUCCAUUGCAGAUAUGUGCUGUAAUUCUACCGCUACAGAGUUAAUACAUCGGAAUGAGUUUCCGAUUUUAUGCAGAGAAGCCAUAUAAAAACAUGAAAACUAUAAAAUCUUUGUGCACAUAUAGAAAUCGACUUACCUAUGAUGUGGGGUUGUUGCCUUUCAUCAGGGCAAUUGGAAAGCUUGUAAUUCUGUUCUUUUGCAUAUAAAACCAGAGAUGAUCUACAAACCAGUGUUCUAAAAAACGGCUUAGGCGGUGGCGACCCGAGGUGUUUUCUUGCAAAUUGGUUGGAAAAAUCGGCUGGGCUCUAGGCGGGCUAGGUGGUUUUUUUUUUGUUUUUUGAAAUUUAAAAAAAAAAUCUAAUGUACAUGUGUCAUCUUACAAUACUCCUCACUAUAGGGGUGGGCACGGGCCGGGCUGGGCUCAAAAUUGAAGGAACCGGACCGGACCCAUUUAUAAAUAAAACGAGGCGGGGUAGGGCGGGUUUUGGAUUUUUCAAAAUGGGAUCCGGACCUACCCGACCCUUUUGAAACGGGCCGGUCCUACAGGUCCCCACAGGUCCAAGUGUGGGUGCGUCAGCUUCCUAGCAAGUCCACGUCUCCUCCAUCCUCAGGUACCACCUCGAGUCCUUCAGCCGCUUCACCGUCAUGAUAAACCCGAAUUCCAUCACCGCCUUGUAUGUACUUCCCAUUGUGGAUCCAUACAUAUAAAAUCAUGGCACCAUUUAUCCGAAAUCAACAAAAUCAAUCACUUUGUCUCUAGUUCCUUUUCAAAAUCAACAAAAGGGAUCUGGGUUUAUACCCUUUGAUUACAGGAUCCCUACACAAAUAACAACAUGCAAGAGACAUUUUCCUUCAAUUUUUCCUUAAUCUAAACAUUAGAAACAAAAUCGAAGAAGGAUGAGACUAAAGUCUAAACUCCACAACAAAUUCAAAAAAAAAGAAGAAAAAAAAAACCCAUCUCAUAUUUCCCACCAUACGGUACCUGCAGAUUAAUGAAAACCCAGAUGGGCUAGAUGCUCAAUCUUGCAAAAAAUUAAGAUCUGAGAGGAGACACAGGAAGACUAAGAACAGAGGGCAUAGUGGUCGACUUCGAUUCGCAUGGCGCUGACGAUGGUGGUGUUUGACCAUCUUGAGGUGCUGAUGAUGGGGGUCUUCGUUGAGGAGGAGAAUCGAGAGAUAGGUAGGGCGACGGUGGCGACGGUUCUGAGUUUGAUGUCGUCGAGGUCGCACAAAAUGCCUACAUAAAGCUGGUGCUCCACACUUUCAAGCACAAGAUAUCUGUCGUCAACGGCAUCCUCCUCGGCCGCGUCUCCCCCCAGAACGACGUCAUCGAGAUCACCGACUCCGUCCCUCUCUUUCACUCCCACAUCGGCCUCCUUCCCCAGAACGAGAGAUAGAUGGUGAAACAGCAGCGCCGGUUCUGAGUUUGAUGUCGUCGAGGUCGAGGAGGAGAAGACGAGUGACAGAGAGUCUGUGGGUGGGAGGUGACGAGAAAGAGUCUGAGUUACAGACUGGGGGAUGAGAUCCUAGAUAAUGGACUAAGAAAUGGGCCGGUUUGAGGGCCCGUUCUUCUCAAUAUUUGGACUCGGGCCCGAACCUUAAUUGCCAUAUCCCAGCCCCGCCCCGCCCCACCCCGUUUACUCUCCAAAAAAAUUGGAACCGCCCCGACCCGCGGUUCCACUGCCCAUUUGCCCACCCCUACCUCACUAUGGUUAUGUGGUAUAUAUGCUUAAUGUGUUUUUAAAUUUUGGACUUGUUGGAUACUCUUUUUGUAUUUUAUCAUUCCUUUAUCGGAAAAUUAGAAUCCUGUACCGUUUUUUUUAUAUCAUUUAGAUUAAAUAUAUGUGCCUUUUUAAAAUUUGAUUAAAGUGCUUUGACCAAUAGUCACCUCUAUUUUUUAAAAUUAAAAUAAUUUUUGAAUUUAUCCUUUUAUCUGCAUGAUGCAUUUUUCCUUAUUUAGUGGAAAUAUUAGUAAUUAAACUAUAUUUUCUCUUCUUCCAAAUAUGUUUUUCGAUCACAGUUUUUUUUUGUUACGCUAACAUUUAAUAUUAUUUCUUUUUCCAAAUGGUUUUUUGGUUUUCAAAUAGUUGGUGAUCAACAUAAAAGCUUUGUGUAAUUUUUUCAAUUUUUUUUGUGAAAUUAUAUUUUUUUGCUGUUUUUUAAGGGGCUUUUAGAUCUAGGUCCAAAAACAUAAAUGGUUUUUAGGAGUGAGUCCAGUUAUCUAAUUACAUGUUUUUAUUUCUUUUAUACUCAUUUUAUAUUUUUGUCUAAAAAUAUUAAAAUCAAUUAAAAUAUUCUAAUAUUAUGCAUUUUUCAACUCCAAAAAAUAUAAUUAAUAUCUUAUAACAAAAAAAAUAAUAUACUAACAUAAAUCUAUCUGUAAAACAUUCUACCUUAACUCAAGUAACAAAUAUAUGAAUGAAUAUUAUACCUAUAAGCAAGAUAUGAAACCUAACUAAAAGGUAGAAAAAACAUAGAUACCUACAAGCAAGACACAUUAAUCUUAGUUUAUUAUAAAAAAUCUAUUAUAUAGGUAGAUAAAUUAAUUAACUUGUGAUAUAGGUUGAUUAUAAAAAUUAAAAAUAAAAUCUAUGAAUGAGGUGUAAAGCAAGAGGAAAAACAAAAAAGAACAAAAAAUACAUAAAAAGAAAUAAUCAAAGAGAUAAUUAGGAAGAAAUUUGAUUUUUAUAAUAAAUCUUAUCGUUAAAGAGAUAAUUAUUGAUAAUAAAAAUAAUUAAAUUUAAAACUUCUUUUAAUAAAUUGGACUAUUCCUACUAUUGGCUCAAAAAAUUGGACUUAUAUAAAUAUAGUUGUUGACAAAUUACUAUUAUGUACAAUACAUUACGUAUAUAUUAUCUGUGUGUAUGUUUGAAUUUAAAAAAAAUCAUUAAUUGGUACGCUUAUUUGCAAUUUUGGUACGUUUGAUUUGAUACAUAUUGUUAAUAUUAGUACAUUAUUUUUAUUUUGGUACGUUUUAUUUUGUACACAUUGUGUAUUGGUACGUUUCUAUUAUUCUCAAUCCUAUUUUCUCUUAACAUACUAAAAGAAAAACUUAUUUCGGUACGUUUGAUUUUGGGGGAUUUAAAAAUAUUUUAAACUAUUUUGCAAAGAAAAUAUCUUAAAUUGUAGAUAAUUAUUGCUAAAUUGUAGCAUUAUUGUGAAAAUAAAUUGAACCUAACCAACUUUUUAUUUUUAUUUUUUACAAUUAUCUCUAUCGGAUGAUAGUGUAAUCAAAAUGCUAGAUUAUAGGAAAUUUGAUACAAUAUAAUGUGCAUAUAGCACCAAAAUUAUGACAAAAACAAGUUUAAUCAAAUCACUAAAAUGCAUGAAUGUUUGAUCUAGAAAAUUCAAAA